CCCUGGGAAUUACAAGAUGGGUGAGAUAGAGAACAGUGAAGAGGAGGAGGAGGAGGAAGAUGACAAGGAGGACAUUCUCCCACCUGAUAAAAGUAUCCGAAGGAGAGCUGUGGACUGGGUGAAUAAGAAGUGGGAGAAGAGGAACCUCAAAAAGAUCGAGAGAACGUAUCAGAGAGAGGCUGAGGAGGGCUAUAAGAUCGUCCACAUAGGUAAGACCUGUUUUACCUCUGCUUAUGACAUCAUCCUCUUUAGUCUCCUCUACACACAUAAGUUCCACACCAGUCAUCAUGUUGCAUCAUUGUUUCAAUAUAAAACUACUGUCCAAAGAAUAUGUUAGCUGACAUGGCUAAUUGAGUGACUGACUGACAUAACAAGAAAAAUACUGCUGAUGUAACAACCACGUUUUUAAAUGAUACCUUAUGUCAUCUACUAGUCUAACUCUCAAGACUAAGUAGAGACCCAGAAAGAGUUCCUAAAAAACACACACAAAAAAGGCUUUUGGGGGGGUCGGGGGGCCCCUAGUUGCCAUGGAGCCCUAAGCUAUCACAUAGGCCCUGGCUCUAUACAAGGAAUAGGUGCCAUUUGGGACUCAUGUUCAACUUAGGGUCAGGUCAAUUCGGGAUGGGAAUUAUUGCACUUCAUUGACAAAUUCUAUGCCUUGCUCAAUUGAAAAGAUUAAAGAAUCCUUGAGAUCAAAUUGUGUUUUCUAUUCUUAAUUCCCUGUGUCCAUUACAUUUAAGUUGAUACCAGAUCCACUAAGUUGAAUGUGAAUUCUACUUCUUCUCCCCUCCCAGCCAUCCCUGGACACACAAGGCUAACAUCCACCAUGACCCGGGCAGAGAGAGAGAGGGAGAAGAGGAAGGAGCUGCUGAAGGAUGAGGAGAGAAGGAAGAAGUUGGAGGAUUUCAAUAAGCAGUGGAGAGAGCAGUCCCUGCUUAAAAAAAGGACUCAUCAGAAACUGAAGGAUGAGAGGGAGAGGAUGAAGGAAAAAUUCCUGGAACAGAUGAAUCUGGAGGCUGAUGCUCAAAUCAACACCCGGUGUCCAACCACCCAACACAGCCACGAUUCCAACCACGGUCAGGCAUUGCCCGGAUGGGCCACAGGCCAACAGGUAAGCCAAGAGCCUGUUGGAUCUGGAGAUGGCCAGCAGGAGGGGCCAAGGAGGCAGCAGGCAUGGGCAGAGAACCAGGAGUGGAGUUCAGAGAACCAGCAGGAGUGGAGUUCAGAGAACCAGCAGGAGUGGCCAGAGAACCAGCAGGAGUGGCCAGAGAACCAGCAGGAGUGGCCAGAGAACCAGCAGGAGUGGCCAGAGAACCAGCAGGAGUGGCCAGAGAACCAGCAGGAGUGGCCAGAGAACCAGCAGGAGUGGCCAGAGAACCAGCAGGAGUGGCCAGAGAACCAGCAGGAGUGGCCAGAGAACCAGCAGGAGUGGCCAGAGAACCAGGAGGGGAUGUCAGAGAACCAGCAGGAGUGGCCAGAGAACCAGCAGGAGUGGCCAGAGAACCAGCAGGAGUGGAGUUCAGAGAACCAGCAGGAGUGGCCAGAGAACCAGCAGGAGUGGCCAGAGAACCAGCAGGAGUGGCCAGAGAACCAGCAGGAGUGGCCAGAGAACCAGCAGCUGGAAGCUCCAGAAGAGGCUGAAACAUCAGAGCCAACCUCCAAGAACAAGAAAAGGCCAAGCAUCUGGAAGAGAAUUAAGAUGAGCAUUCCUGACGUGCUGUCUGCCUAGAGCUGGAACUCGAUGAAGCCACAGUUCCACUGAGGUUACGUUGGUAAUUAAAAGUGUCGCCCAAUAAUUCCUCCUCCUCUUUAAGUCAUCAAGCCACAUUUCCUCCACAAAACAUUAUAUUCUCCUCAAGCCAGAAAGUGUCCUCUUUAUCAAGGCAACAAACCAUCUAAGGUCAGUGACUCUCCUCCCCAGAGCAGAGUUUCUCAUCUUUAUCCAAGUUGAAUUCAUCACUGCUCACCACCUCUACUGUCCUAGAAAAUAUCCCAAAUGGACAUGGUUUAAACAGAAGUCCUCCCCUCAGACCAGUGGCUCCACAGACCAGAGUUUCUCAUCUUUAUUCAAGUUGAAUGCAACUCUGAUCAUUUCCACCACCUCACCUGUUAAGGGGAGGUGCUGAAAAGGAGGUCUGGGAGGAGGUCUGCAGGUAGCCUGGACCGGACCGGUAGCAGCUAANNNNNNNNNNNNNNNNNNNNAAGAGAGACAGAGAGAGAUUGAAAGAGAGCUUAAAGAAGAAAGAUGUAAACAGAAGAAAAUAGAGAUGGAAGAGAAAGAAAGAGAAGAAGAGAGACAGAGAGAGAUUGAAAGAGAGAAUGAUGAAGAAAUAUGUAAACAGAAGCAAAUAGAGAUGGAAGAGAAAGAACGAGAGAGGGAGAAAGAGAGACAGAGAGAGAUUGAAAGAGAGAAUGAAGAAGAAAGAUGUAAACAGAUGCAAAUAAAGANNNNNNNNNNNNNNNNNNNNCAAAUUGUGUUUUCUAUUCUUAAUUCCCUGUGUCCAUUACAUUUAAGUUGAUACCAGAUCCACUAAGUUGAAUGUGAAUUCUACUUCUUCUCCCCUCCCAGCCAUCCCUGGACACACAAGGCUAACAUCCACCAUGACCCGGGCAGAGAGAGAGAGGGAGAAGAGGAAGGAGCUGCUGAAGGAUGAGGAGAGAAGGAAGAAGUUGGAGGAUUUCAAUAAGCAGUGGAGAGAGCAGUCCCUGCUUAAAAAAAGGACUCAUCAGAAACUGAAGGAUGAGAGGGAGAGGAUGAAGGAAAAAUUCCUGGAACAGAUGAAUCUGGAGGCUGAUGCUCAAAUCAACACCCGGUGUCCAACCACCCAACACAGCCACGAUUCCAACCACGGUCAGGCAUUGCCCGGAUGGGCCACAGGCCAACAGGUAAGCCAAGAGCCUGUUGGAUCUGGAGAUGGCCAGCAGGAGGGGCCAAGGAGGCAGCAGGCAUGGGCAGAGAACCAGGAGGGGAGUUCGGAGAACCAGCAGGAGUGGCCAGAGAACCAACAGGGGGUGCCAGAGAGCCAGCAGCUAGAAGCUCCAGAAGAGGCUGAAACUUCAGAGCCAACCUCCAAGAACAAGAAAAGGCCAGGCAUCUGGAAGAGAAUUAAGAUGAGGUAAAUAAUGUUUAAACAUGUAUUCAUGUUACACUGUUUAUAUAUAUGUUGUCACUUUAAAAGUGACAUUAUCCAAAUGUGAGGGUUUAGUGUACAUGCAACACACAUGUAAAUAUAUAGAUACUUACCUGUCUCUGUGAUGUCUUACAGCAUUCCUGACGUGCUGUCUGCCUAGAGCUGGAACUCGAUGAAGCCACAGUUCCACUGAGGUUACGUUGGUAAUUAAAAGUGUCGCCCAAUAAUUCCUCCUCCUCUUUAAGUCAUCAAGCCACAUUUCCUCCACAAAACAUUAUAUUCUCCUCAAGCCAGAAAGUGUCCUCUUUAUCAAGGCAACAAACCAUCUAAGGUCAGUGACUCUCCUCCCCAGAGCAGAGUUUCUCAUCUUUAUCCAAGUUGAAUUCAUCACUGCUCACCACCUCUACUGUCCUAGAAAAUAUCCCAAAUGGACAUGGUUUAAACAGAAGUCCUCCCCUCAGACCAGUGGCUCCACAGACCAGAGUUUCUCAUCUUUAUUCAAGUUGAAUGCAACUCUGAUCAUUUCCACCACCUCACCUGUUAAGGGGAGGUGCUGAAAAGGAGGUCUGGGAGGAGGUCUGCAGGUAGCCUGGACCGGACCGGUAGCAGCUAAGUUGCUGGCUCCAUCCCCGGGCAGAGCUGCUCAAGUCAGGCCAGUGAUGUUUGAUGAUGUCAUUUUUGAUAGCAAAGUUUUACGCUUUAAUAAAAGCAGUUAUUAAAAAAGCAGUAUUGUUGUUACGGUGUGGAUUGUUUUGUAUUUUAUUAGAAUUGAAACAUCCAGUAGUCAUGGUAGAUGUUAGACUUUCAAUGAGACACCUAACAUUCCAUCAGUCUGACACAAUGCGUGACAUGUUAUAUUAGAGAGGAGUCCUCUAUACACAUAAAUUGCACUAUAACGGUG
rnacentral:lncRNA from 8 species